GUUCUACUGUUCAACUUAAUUUUUUUAAAGUCAAAUAUGUGUAUCACUUUAGUUUUGGAAAUAACGUAUCAUUCAUAUUUUUUUAAAGAUAUGUUGAAAUUAAAACAUUUUAGAUAUUGUACUUUUAUUGAAGAAAUAUUCUAAAUUCUGAUUUUUAUUUAAGUACCGAGCUUAUUGCGUAAGAUAGGACACGUGCCUACUGGCUAAUUGUCAUUUAUUCUCCACGUGUUCCUUUCAAAAGAGUAGAAUUGUGCAAUUAUUUUGAGGAAUUGCAUCGUUUGACGCUUGCCAAUAUUGCCUGACUCAGCUAUUUACAAAUUUAGGCCAAUUAUUCGAAAGUCAUACGAUCGUUACUAACAUAUGCUAUUUACAAAAGCACGUGUAUGACGGUCAUGAAUAUAUAUAUGCUACUCUGCGAAUCAUGACUUUAAUUUCAAUCGCGUUGCUAUAGAACUUGCAUGCAAUACGAAAAUAUGGCCUGAUGUAUUUUGAUGAAUGAUAUCGUGAAUUUUAUGAAUGGGUUGUUAUUAUCAAUAGCAAGGUUGUGACGUACUUGUCGGGAAGGAAAACACCCUUUUAAAUUUAAAUGUUUAUUUUGGAGUCUCCCUAUAGAACAGUUUCCUAAGCAGGAAAACACGAAAACAUUGCCACUCCCAUAGUAAUUAUACAAAAAAGCAAAUUUUUUUUUGUAUUUUUCCAAAAUAAAACACAAAAGAUAAAAAACUGUAGAUGACAACAAAGUAAAGGUAAUUGAACUCCCCCGCAUUAC
rnacentral:sRNA from 1 species